ACAAGUUUGUGAUGAAUUUUGUUAUCCCUGUCUGAACAGCUAUGUGGAGUUAUGGUAACCUGAAACUUGU